rnacentral:lncRNA from 1 species
CCCAGGGUGGGGAGGAGUAUGGCACCCUCUGGAUCCGGGACAGCAAGAAGGAGGAUGCCGGUGUGUACACAUGCGUCGCUGAGAAUGAGCAGGGAGAGGCCAUGACCAGUGCAGUGUUGGCCAUCAUGGACAUGGAAGACUCGGAGACAGGUGAGGAUGAAUCCAGCGACCCCCAGGUGACACAACGCAGUGAUCUCCAGGAUGAGACGGCCUUCAGCACCCCUACGGGUGGGUCUGACACCCUUGUGGACGCCUCCAUGAACACAACGCCGACCUCGGUGCUGGC